GGGUUGUGAGGUUAAGCGACUAAGCGUACACGGUGGAUGCCCUGGCAGUCAGAGGCGAUGAAGGGCGUGCUAAUCUGCGAUAAGCGCCGGUAAGGUGAUAUGAACCGUUAUAACCGGCGAUACCCGAAUGGGGAAACCCAGUGUGACUCGUCACACUAUCAUUAACUGAAUCCAUAGGUUAAUGAGGCGAACCGGGGGAACUGAAACAUCUAAGUACCCCGAGGAAAAGAAAUCAACCGAGAUUCCCCCAGUAGCGGCGAGCGAACGGGGAGGAGCCCAGAGCCUGAAUCAGCAUGUGUGUUAGUGGAAGCGUCUGGAAAGGCGCGCGAUACAGGGUGACAGCCCCGUACACAAAAGCGCAUGUGCUGUGAGCUCGAUGAGUAGGGCGGGACACGUGGUAUCCUGUCUGAAUAUGGGGGGACCAUCCUCCAAGGCUAAAUACUCCUGACUGACCGAUAGUGAACCAGUACCGUGAGGGAAAGGCGAAAAGAACCCCGGCGAGGGGAGUGAAAAAGAACCUGAAACCGUGUACGUACAAGCAGUGGGAGCACCCUUUGGGGUGUGACUGCGUACCUUUUGUAUAAUGGGUCAGCGACUUAUAUUCUGUAGCAAGGUUAACCGAAUAGGGGAGCCGGAGGGAAACCGAGUCUUAAUUGGGCGUUAAGUUGCAGGGUAUAGACCCGAAACCCGGUGAUCUAGCCAUGGGCAGGUUGAAGGUUGGGUAACACUAACUGGAGGACCGAACCGACUAAUGUUGAAAAAUUAGCGGAUGACCUGUGGCUGGGGGUGAAAGGCCAAUCAAACCGGGAGAUAGCUGGUUCUCCCCGAAAGCUAUUUAGGUAGCGCCUCGUGAAUUCAUCUCCGGGGGUAGAGCACUGUUUCGGCUAGGGGGCCAUCCCGGCUUACCAACCCGAUGCAAACUGCGAAUACCGGAGAAUGUUAUCACGGGAGACACACGGCGGGUGCUAACGUCCGUCGUGAAGAGGGAAACAACCCAGACCGCCAGCUAAGGUCCCAAAGUCAUGGUUAAGUGGGAAACGAUGUGGGAAGGCCCAGACAGCCAGGAUGUUGGCUUAGAAGCAGCCAUCAUUUAAAGAAAGCGUAAUAGCUCACUGGUCGAGUCGGCCUGCGCGGAAGAUGUAACGGGGCUAAACCAUGCACCGAAGCUGCGGCAGCGACACUAUGUGUUGUUGGGUAGGGGAGCGUUCUGUAAGCCUGCGAAGGUGGCCUGUGAGGGUUGCUGGAGGUAUCAGAAGUGCGAAUGCUGACAUAAGUAACGAUAAAGCGGGUGAAAAGCCCGCUCGCCGGAAGAC
rnacentral:rRNA from 1 species